UUUUUAAUUAAAAAAUGCAAAAAAAAAAAGAGUUAUUAAUCAUAAUUCUUCUUUAAUUAUAUGGAGCUGUAAUUAUAACCAAAACGUUCCGGCAGGGUGAAAACCUCAGUGUUAAUUUUUCUCUUCUCCCAGUUUGCCAUUAGAUGGCAGUGAAAAGCUCCUCUCAAAGCUGCCACGGGCUCAGGCUUCCUUCACAAGAGGCUUUGCUCAGCCACAGACCGGUCAUAUCUAUCUCUGAGAAGGAUGUUCUUUAAGCUGCUUUCAGCCGCAUUGGCAUCCUGCACAAAAAAAUCCCUUUCCAGAAGCAAGCAAGAUUUCACAAAGCACCUUUGACUGCAGCUUACUUAUUCCUUGAAAACACAUCUUAGACAUUAAAGAUGGAUAAUGAAUGGAGUAAGUAGAAGACCACACUGAGUCAUAAGAAGAAAAAAUAUGGAGGUGGGAAGUGCAGACUGCUCUGAUCAGCACUGCAGAAGCAAGAGAGGCCACCCUAAUCAGUCAGAGCAGGGCGACCCACCUAAACCAGAAAUGCAUAGCUGCUUUGCCAUUGAAAACUGGUGUUACAUCACUGGUUAAGCAAAUGAGAGGAAAACAGUGAGUAACUUCCUUCAGUCAGUCUGGUAUUAAAUCCAGCUACACUAAAAUUAAAGUCUCUGCAGUUCCACUGCUAAUUCUUAAAUUUCCCAAUUUUGUGAGAGGUUUUCAAUGAGAUUUGUUUGGUUGUUUCCCCCUCACUUUCUUGUUUGCCACUUCUCUAAAACAUUUUUCUUUUGUAGGAAAAGUUAAUGUACUGUUGCCUAAAAAGAGCUUAGAGACUUUCAUUCAUUUUGUAGUGAAUGUGCUCAGGUCCUGCUGGUGUUGGUUGCUGCUCUAGGAUUUAUCUAGUUACCACUAACAGCGGGUGGCAAAUAAAAAGGAAAAGCAAUCAAUUAAGCAGUCAUUCUUUGAACCUUAUUUAUUAGCCAUAAAACAACAUAGUCCAUGAGCAAAUGUUAAUUAGUUUGAAUUAUUUGUUUAUUUCUGUGUUUCCUCUGUAUUCUCCUCAGAUUAAUGAGUUUAGUAUUUAGGAAAUAAUGUUCUCUUCUCUAGUUGACAGUAAAUAGUUCAAUAUAUACACAGGAAAAAAGCUGUGCAAAGUACUUCAGCUUCCAUUGUGACUAAGGAACAAAGUUGUCUUGAUUAGCAUUUAUAAACAUUAUUGCAUUAGGAAAGAAAAAAUGAUCUGUCAGUGUCAAUACACCUUUGAGAUAUAUAUAUAUAUAUGUAAAGAAUAAUGUAAAUGAAGGUACAAUAGGGAGGGAUAGAGUGUCAGAAUCAUAUUACUUAGUGUCAAGGCUGUCUCAUCCUUUCAUGGUGUCCAGCUCCAGAGGUGUAAAAGAUGUGUAAAUUGCACAGUGGAAGAUCUGGGAUGAUCUGUCUCCUAUGGAAGUGUGUCCUUGCAACACUAGCUGUCUAAACUCUGCAUGUUCUCAUCACUGUGUGACCACCCCUUCUCUACACCUCUGCUAAGGAUACCCUGUGAUACAGUGUUCACCAUCUAAAAGAUAGAUAAGUCUGGACACUCUUAGUGACAGACAAUACAUGCUUUCAUUAGUUCAUCUUUCAAAUCCUAGACUAGUACCUUUUUCUAUUGUGAAAUGGGAAGAAGAGCUGACCUACCUUCUAGAAUUUGGCCAUUUAUAUACAUUUUAAUAAUAUUUGCUCUUAUUUUGGCUUAAAAUAAACAGU